AGAAAAGUAAGCUAAUAUAAGCUAAUGGGUUCAUACCCCGUAAAUAGAGUAUACACUCUCUUCUCUA
rnacentral:tRNA from 1 species